ACACGGUACCCAGCAAGUAAAACGUCUAAACACAAGCUAAGGGGAUAAAAUACGGGUACUCCUACUACCCCAACCGAACCUCCUCCUGCAUGAAAUUCAGUCUAACCUAACAAUUCACAUUUAAAUAGCACGUAACUCUACAACAACACACAGACAAAUUACAUAUAUAUCCUGCGCAACAACACUUUACCAAAUUAUAUAUAUCCUAAAUAACAACACUUCAGCAAAUUACAUAUCCUCAACACCACUUUAACAAAUUGCAUAUCCUCAAUAACAACACUUCAACAAAUUACAUGUUCCACAAAGAGGCAAUUACAAGAUCAGCAAAUCACAAUAUCAAGUUCAAUAAUGUUAAGUAUGUGCAAUGCAAUGCAAUGGAAUGCAAUGUCAAGUAUAAUGAUGCAUGUCUGACCUAGUGAUACACACUCGCUGUCUCUCAGUCCGGGACCCAUGGGGGACAUAUCUGUCCAUGCAUCUGUCGUGGCGCACGACACGACCCUCGAUAUAGUAACCAUUACGGCGCGCGAUACGUCCCUCAAAAUAUAGUAUCCAUCGCGGCGCGCGAUACGUCCCUCGAAAUGGUACAUCCUCUUAAGUACUCAUUAUUUUUCAAUGCACAUAACACUUAUCACAACCAAUGCGUCAGAAUAAUGCAGAUGACAAGUUCACACUAAUAAUGAGGAGAUGACCACUUUUAUAACAUCACACAUAUCACAACCACACAAACAUGAAGUCACAUCAACAAUGAUUCAACAAGCCUUCAACUCUUUCUCAACACAUCACGCAUAAACAAUAGAUCACAUUGCCUUUUGUUAUCUCUUUCUUUUUUCUUCAUUAAAAUUAAUCAAUGUGGACAAGUCAACCCAUCACCAAUCCCGUUAAUCCCAAACAUAUACCACAAGGAAAUACACGCAUUUCAUACACUUAACAAGAGUUUAGAAAUCCACUUGCCUCCAGUAGUAAAAAAUCACUCCAAAACUUGAGUCUUCCCCAUUCAUUGGACUUCCAAAUAAAUGCAAUCUAUUCAAAUAGGUAAUCACAAUAAGAUUUCAAAACUAAUAACGCUCAUAUGUUAUAUGUCUACCUUAGACACACAAAUCCAUCCAAACUUAUAAUCAAGUUUCUUAAUCUUGAUAUCAAUUAACAUGUCAACUUUUUUUCAAUUUUCUCCAAAUUUCAAGCCUAGGGUUAAAUCUCAAUUUCUCAAUACACCUAAAGUUAAAAUUAAUCACAUCAUCAAAUUUCAUCAUUCUCUUAUACUAUCUUUUUACUUCUAGGCUAAUAAGGAUAAUGUAUGGGUGUAAAUAUGUAUGGAUAUACCAAAUUCACAUGACGGUUUUAAGUGGGAUACUCUAAAAUUUUGUACCUCUAAAAAUGAAACUAACAGUUUGGAAACCAUAUGAAUUAAGGUAAGGACAAAUAUAUUGGCCGUGCAUGAAACUAUAUUUGAAAGAGUCAUCAUUACAAAUUAUUGAAUAUAAUAUGUUUGUUAUUGUUUCUAGCCAAAAUUCUUCCAAACAACAUUGACUAAACAAUAUUCUAUAAAUAUUCAACUAUUCUAACUUACCAAUUUAAUAAUUAAUUAAUAUCUUACUCCUACACUAGUACAUAAAAACUAGAGAUGAAAAGUAGGCAAAUUCUUGUGUUACCUGGAGUGAGAACGCAUUCCUUGUGACGCCGAAUAAUGCCCUCUGCUUCUAUCAUGAAUAUUUUUUUUCUUUGUAAUUAAUAAAACAAAACCCCAUUUCAUUUUAAUCCAUUCUCAUACAUGGGCCAAAAUAGUAUAUGAUAUUAAAUAGAUCAUGGGCAUGGCCCAUUAAUUACUAAUUAUAUUAAUUAUUAAAAAAACUAAUCAAUAUAACACACAUAGUUAAAUGAGUAAUUCAAAAUUCUUAUUAAAAAUUUACAAAAAGAGGAUUUUUUUUGUGAAAGAUCCAUGAGUAUUUUUUUUUCAGAAUCACUUAAUGGGUCAUUACAUUAUCCACCACUUAAACCAUCUUCGUCCUCGAACAUAAAGAAGGAGAAGAAUGAAUAACCGACAUUACCAAACGCCCGAGUUAUAACCUAUCAAUCAGUGUUCAUCUUUUCAAGUGAGCUCCUUCUUAAGACCUUUCCAUCAAGAUCAACUACAGUUGAUUGAACUUUCGAAUAAAAUAUAGGAAGAUUUAUUAAUCAUGAAUGGUUAUUUAGCCACACACUAACUCAUGAAUUGAAUCUAAACUAAACUUAUUGGAUCUUUAACACAACCAUCAUGACGAAUCUCUUCUGACAUAACCAAAAUAACAUUCUGAAUCGAUGCUGACUACAAUCAGAAGUGAAAUUUAACCAACCAACACACAAUUAUAUACACAAACCAUCAGAGAUAUUAUCAAGACUUCCUUGUCACAACAUAAUCUUCAUGAGCUUAAACUAUAAAAAUGUGAUCUUUAGACAUCAAUACAAAUCAAGGGGGGAUCAAACUUAUCUAACCCAAAUUAGAACAAGAUCAAGUAACCACUUUACUAGCGAUUCACUCAAGCUAAUAGAACCUCGAACCACACUAUCAAAAUGUUAUAUCGAUAGCUAUUAUUGUAGACAGUCUUUAAUAAUGGUAGAGCUAUACCCAAUGCUCCCUUCAUUCAAUCACACAUAUUUGAAACGUGCCUUAAUGAUGAGAUGAAUACUAAGACUAUCAGACAACUGUAGGUAUCCAUGGUAGCACUUCUAUGAACUCUUAAACAAGAUUGUGUGUGUAGAAUCACUACUAUACUUCAACUUCCCAACAAUAGCAAAUCAUCCAUAAUUGAAAUGAAUAAGUCUAACCAAAAAUGCCAUCCUACCAAGAGGACAAUCACAAGAUCGGUACACCCAAUCCACCACUAGGAAUUUACCCAAAAAUACGAAAACAUGUGUGGGCAUAAACACCUAAUCACACUUUAAAUCAUAUCCAAAAUGAAGUAGGUGGUCACAUUAGAAUAAAUAGAACCAAGGUCGAAUAACACUUAAUACUUCUUCCAUAGUGACCAUAUUAAAUAUUUACAUUCAUAUGCCUAAUCUCCUUGAUUUUUUCUUCUUUUUGUUUGCCGCUCACAAUCAAGUUGUGUAGUCUCCUUAACAAUAUUAUACUUGCUUGAUUUGUAAAACCCCAAAACUUAUCACAGUGCUCCAGUAGAUCCAAUACUCUUAAUAUCAAUAAAAACUGUCACUAGUUUACAAUUCUUCUUAGCAAGCACAUUCCAGUCUCCAAAAUUUUGAACUAUGAUUUCUUCUCUUUCCAUUUAAGCUCCCAUGAUAGAUAUGAGUCCGUCAAGGCUGAUACACUAAUUCUAAAUCUGAUAGUACUUUCCCAUUGAGAUGAAGUUAUUAAAUCACCCCCAUAGUCAAUUCCUUACAAAUUUUUAGAUAUCAUGUUUUAACUACCAUUUACUCUUGUCAUAUGCCUCGUGCCAAAAUUUGAGAAAUCCUUCAUCACCCAAUAAUUAUGUAAACUAUAAUUUCAACCCAACAUCAAAUGCCUAUGUAACACAUCAUAACAGGUUGUAUCAUCUCAUCAACAAAUUAGUUUCAAUUUCCUCAAAAUCCUCAUUAAUUAUGUAAAAUUGUAGGUCCACACCGUUGAACAUCAAUAAGUUACCUAUCAUAAUUUGAACAAUCUAGCUCGACAUAACCACAUAUAAUCUUCCCCACAUCAUUACUUGUCACCCAAAAAAAUUCAAUCUUUAGAAAAGGUGAUGUUAAUUCCUAGUAAGUAUGUACUAUUUCAUAUUUCACAAUCAUAUCUAAAUUCAUAGAUAAAAAAAAAGCAAUAAAUUCUUCAACUACAAACCAAUGGCUUAUAUGAAAGGUCUAUUCCUUCAUUUUUCUUAAAUUCUUUCCAUGAGAAAAACUUAUAAUACCUUGAACUCUUCAAUACAUCAAAAUUUUGUUUUUUAAUAUAUUUAUUAGUUUAUUUUUAAUUUUUUUGCUAACUCGCUUACAAGUCUUAUUUUUUGUCCAACAACCUAUGAUAUUUUUACCUUAUCCUCCAAAUGAUAUUUUUACCUUAUCCUCCAAAUAAAAACUUAACUAAAACCAUUCCUUAGGUAUAACAAUCAAAAGAAAAAAAUUUACUACUCAAAUUAUUCUUAAGUCAAUCUCAAUGCUUCAUACCCAAUGUGAUCGAUCACUUCUUACCUUAUCAAUUCAUACCUUGACAAAACGCACUGCCACAACCUACACUUACAAUAAAAACUUGAUUUUUUUUAUUUAUUCUUUUGAUCCCAACCGUGUAACACAAUUCUAUUAUCUAUCAACAUUAGCUCACACCUGAAAUUUUAUGAAUUUAUGUAUCAUAGCUUAUCAUAUAUCGCCUCUCUAGCGACCUUAUAAUAUCCUUCGCUAAAAAAUAAAAUGUAGAUGAAUGUAUGUACAUUUUUUUCUCAAAUUUUAUCAAAUAGUCUUUAACAUAUAUGAAUGCCACAUAACAUUAUCACCAAACUAAAGCAAAACAGAAGGAACCACGAGUCCCUGAACUCAAUUCCCCAAAUUUUCACUGAAAAUACAUUCUAACCCUUGUAAUCAGAGUAAAUAUCCUAGCUCUCUCCUCUCUUUAAAAAGUUAAACUGCAUACCACUAAUUCUUUCCACAAUGGCUUUAGCUCCUUUCAAUUUUAUUCAAGUGGUGUCCCAACAUCUCAUACAACUUUCCAUAAAAAUCACACUACUUACCGAAUAGUAUCCAACCAUAACCUUAGAUAAUCAAAAGUCAUCAUUACCAUACAAAGUCCUUUUAACCAACAAACCUUAUCAUAUAGUUUUAUUCCAAGCAUAAUUUAUUAUAAAACCUUACUAGCAUCAUGCUUAGUUAAGCCUUGCCAUCACCACAAAUUAAACCUCGCCAUCAACAUGAAUUCUCAAACCUAGUUAUACCGACCAUCUUAGGGAAUCAUUCAAUUUAUACACACUUCCUUACUAAAAUUUUAAAUUACAUUCCCACAAAUAUACUCGUUGGGACUUAUUUUACCUAUAAACUGGUCAUCCUAAUAUCAGUCCACUUCCAUGGAAUUUAUAAUGAAAUAACCACUCAUUUAAAAAUCCUCAAAAUACACCAUAUAACCUAAACACAUUAAUAUUGUACCAAAGAUCCACCAUUAAAAGCUUUCUUAUAAAAAUGCUUAACUCAAGCGUCCAUAGUAACUAGUUGGUUUCCCAAAUAUGAAUUUAACAUUGAUCUUAUUAUAAGAGCAUGUGAUACAACAUAUAACUCCUUAUGUAGUUAAUAUUUGCACUUACAAUCAACAUAUUUGUUUUCAUAUAUCACUAGUACCACAUUGUGAAAGUUUGUUACAUCCACCACUAGGAUUCAACAUACACCUCGAGAAGAUUAUACUCAAUAGCCCACACAUUUCUGACCAUAAAGUAACUGCAACAUACUACUAAAUUCAUUCGAUCUCUCACCUGAAGUGAUUCAUUCAUAGAUCAGGUCAAUAGUACGAGUAAUUCACUCCAUAACUCUUAGCAAGUGAUGAUUGAUACCUUUAUAGUAGUAAUUUUGGAAUUCUUUUUGACAUUCCCUCAAUCUAUGAAACUAAAAUAAAGAUUCUGACCUCAAUUAGUGUAAUAUCACUCUCAUCAUUCACUGACCAUAUAUGUUAUAAAACUUUAAUUAAAUGUAGCUUUUAAAGCUAUCACACUCAUUAUCUAACCUUCUUUUUAGUCAUUUCACUUUCAAUUGUCAAACCACUCAAGAUAUUUCAUAUACCACACAAGUAUUGAUGCUAGAUACUAGCCUAAACAAAGUAUAAGACGCUCGUGAAGUCAGCUAAACCACUGUUCAACCUAAUCCUUGAAAUAUUUCAUCAUGUAAUCACCUAACUCAAUCUAUUUGAGUCGUUGAACAUUCCAAAUUUGAUACACAUCCUUCCCAUAAAUAUAUCACUUCCACAUUUGUUAAAAAUCUAACCUCAAAGACUAAUACAACACACUAAAUACUCAAAUGAGGAACUACGCACGAUAAUCACUAUAAAUGAGAGUGAACCAAAUAAGGCGAUAAAAAUCAGAAUCGGAUCAAGUACGCACGAUAGAGAUUCAAAACAGUGAAAUAUUUUCCUAAAAGUCAUUAUAGCCUCUCGAAGAUAAGUACAGACGUCUCCGUAUAGAUCUUCGACACUCUACAUGGACUCGACUUGUACACACGCGAGACCGAUGAACUUGGGGCUCUGAUAUCAUUUUGUCACGACCCAAAAAUGGACGUGAUGGCACUCGUCUUAUCCCACCAAGACAAGUAAGCCUAAAAUUCAACUAUUACAAUAAAAGUGCAGAAAAUUUACUAUAAACUUACAUUAUACCCCAAAACCUGGUUGUCACGUGUACAAGCCUCUAAAGUAUUACAAUUGAUUCAAAAGCAAUGCUAGCCUCAAAUGAACUUGUUUCUAGAAUAGAUUAAGGUCAUAACUAAGGAGAAAGAAAGUACGUUGAGGCGACAAACAGCUACCUCUCAAAUCUCCAAGAAAUCUCAGACAAGGAGAAGAGAAAUAUCACAAAGUCCGGGCUAGUAACCUAAAAAAAAAAUUAUAGUAGCAAGGGUUGAGUACCAAACCACACGGUACCCAGCAAGUAAAACGUCUAAACACAAGCUAAGGGGAUAAAAUACAAGUACUCCUACUAUCCCAACCGAACCUCCUCCUACAUGAAAUUCAGUCUAACCUAACAGUUCACAUUUAAAUAGCACGUAACUCUACAACAACACACAGACAAAUUACAUAUAUAUCCUGCGCAACAACACUUUACCAAAUUAUAUAUAUCCUCAAUAACAACACUUCAGCAAAUUACAUAUCCUCAACACUACUUCAACAAAUUACAUAUCCUCAAUAACAACACUUCAACAAAUUACAUGUUCCACAAAGAGGCAAUUACAAGAUCAGCAAAUCACAAUAUCAAGUUCAAUAAUGAUAAGUAUGUGCAAUGCAAUGCAAUGGAAUGCAAUGUCAAGUAUAAUUAUGCAUGUCUGACCUAGUGAUACACACCCGCUGUCUCUCAGUCCGGGACCCAUGGGGGACAUAUCUGUCCAUGCAUGUGUUGCGGCGCACGACACGACCUUCAAUAUAGUAACCAUCGCGGCGCGCGAUACGUCCCUCGAAAUAUAGUAUCCAUCGCGGCGCGCGAUACGUCCCUCGAAAUGGUACAUCCUUUUAAGUACUCAUUAUUUUUCAAUGCACAUAACACUUAUCACAACCAAUGCGUCAGAAUAAUGCAGAUGACAAGUUCACACAAAUAAUGAGGAGAUGACCACUAUCAUAACAUCGAACAUAUCACAACCACACAAACAUGAAGUCACAUCAACAAUGAUACAACAAACCUUCAACUCUUUCUCAACACAUCACGCAUAAACAAUAGAUCACAUUGCCUUUUGUUAUCCCUUUCUUUUUUCAUCAUUAGAAUUAAUCAAUGUGGACAAGUCAGCCCAUCACCAAUCCUGUUACUCCCAAACAUAUACCACAAGGAAAUACACGCAUUUCAUACAC
rnacentral:lncRNA from 1 species